rnacentral:rRNA from 1 species
GAUGAACGCUAGCGGCAGGCUUAACACAUGCAAGUCGAGGGGUAACAGGGAGAAGCUUGCUUUUCCGCUGACGACCGGCGCACGGGUGCGUAACGCGUAUAGAACCUACCUUUUACAGAGGAAUAGCCCAGAGAAAUUUGGAUUAAUGCCUCAUAGUAUUAUAGAAUGGCAUCAUUUUAUAAUUAAACAUUUAUGGGUAAAAGAUGGCUAUGCGUUCUAUUAGCUAGUUGGUAAGGUAACGGCUUACCAAGGCUACGAUAGAUAGGGGUCCUGAGAGGGAGAUCCCCCACACUGGUACUGAGACACGGACCAGACUCCUACGGGAGGCAGCAGUGAGGAAUAUUGGACAAUGGAGGCAACUCUGAUCCAGCCAUGCCGCGUGCAGGAAGACGGCCCUAUGGGUUGUAAACUGCUUUUAUAUAGGAAGAAACCUUUCCACGUGUGGAAAGCUGACGGUACUAUAAGAAUAAGCACCGGCUAACUCCGUGCCAGCAGCCGCGGUAAUACGGAGGGUGCAAGCGUUAUCCGGAAUCAUUGGGUUUAAAGGGUCCGUAGGCGGACUAAUAAGUCAGGGGUGAAAUCCAACAGCUUAACUGUUGAACUGCCUUUGAUACUGUUAGUCUUGAAUUAUAUGGAAGUAGAUAGAAUGUGUAGUGUAGCGGUGAAAUGCUUAGAGAUUACACAGAAUACCGAUUG